rnacentral:rRNA from 1 species
UACUGAGUUUACGCUCUACAACCCUUUGUGAACAUACCUAUAACUGUUGCUUCGGCGGGUAGGGUCUCCGUGACCCUCCCGGCCUCCCGCCCCCGGGCGGGUCGGCGCCCGCCGGAGGAUAACCAAACUCUGAUUUAACGACGUUUCUUCUGAGUGGUACAAGCAAAUAAUCAAAACUUUUAACAACGGAUCUCUUGGUUCUGGCAUCGAUGAAGAACGCAGCGAAAUGCGAUAAGUAAUGUGAAUUGCAGAAUUCAGUGAAUCAUCGAAUCUUUGAACGCACAUUGCGCCCGCCAGCAUUCUGGCGGGCAUGCCUGUUCGAGCGUCAUUUCAACCCUCAAGCUCUGCUUGGUGUUGGGGCCCUACGGCUGACGUAGGCCCUCAAAGGUAGUGGCGGACCCUCCCGGAGCCUCCUUUGCGUAGUAACUUUACGUCUCGCACUGGGAUCCGGAGGGACUCUUGCCGUAAAACCCCCAAUUUUCCAAAGGUUGACCUCGGAUCAGGUAGGAAUACCCGCUGAACUUAAGCAUAUCAAUAAGCGGAGGAAAAGAAACCAACAGGGAUUGCCUCAGUAACGGCGAGUGAAGCGGCAACAGCUCAAAUUUGAAAUCUGGCCCUAGGCCCG